GUGGGGAAUAUUGGACAAUGGGCGCAAGCCUGAUCCAGCAAUGCCGCGUGGGUGAAGAAGGCCUUCGGGUUGUAAAGCUCUUUCGGCAGGAACGAAACGGUGAGCUCUAACAUAGCUCGCUAAUGACGGUACCUGAAGAAGAAGCACCGGCUAACUACGUGCCAGCAGCCGCGGUAAUACGUAGGGUGCGAGCGUUAAUCGGAAUUACUGGGCGUAAAGCGGUCGCAGGCGGUUGUGUAAGACAGGUGUGAAAUCCCCGGGCUUAACCUGGGAACUGCGCUUGUGACUGCACGGCUAGAGUAUGGCAGAGGGGGGUGGAAUUCCACGUGUAGCAGUGAAAUGCGUAGAGAUGUGGAGGAACACCGAUGGCGAAGGCAGCCCCCUGGGCCAAUACUGACGCUCAUGCACGAAAGCGUGGGGAGCAAACAGGAUUAGAUCCCCCAGUAGUCC
rnacentral:rRNA from 1 species